GACACUCGUUAUUAUCUCUAGUGGUAAUAUAGAAGAAAGGGGCGACUGUUGUCAGAAAACAACACAAGGUCUAAGAUAUUGUACGAUCUCUAAAGAAUUUCUACAGUCCUGACAACUGUCCAAGACCAAUAUGAGUCCUUCUAACCCACUUUAAAAGCGAGCUGCAGUCCUAGGUCAGUGUCGUGCGGCGCUAGGCGUGCUGCACUUGUCGCACUGCUGCUGCUGCUGGCGUUACCGUCGAUGCUGGGGACUGAUGACGAGUUUCGCUGCUACAACGGGGGCACGGUAUAUUUUAUCAGAACUGACACCCCUAGUGUUUAUAAAAGUUCGAUGUAGAUGUUUGUCAGGCUACGUCGGGAGAUAUUGUGACUUACGUUUCGGGACUCCGGUACCGCAUGAUGCUAAGCGCAACUUAUUCGAGUUACUGGGACGGACAACGCGGCUGAUGAGUCUGAAGAGCGGAGAGUAGAAGGGUGGAGGGGUCGUGAGAGAACACACAUCAGUCCGAAUUGUUGACAGCACAAGCCAGCAAAAUACCAAUAUCCUGGAUGAGUUCUCAUGUUUUUGCCAACGACACCGAGCAGGCGACAACGGCUUUGUUGACAUCAACUGUCGACAGUGAAUAAUAUAGGCAACGGUGUCUGUGAUGAAGACAUGUUGAACUGAAAAUGUCAAUAUAAGAGUUAUCCAUCUUGACUAA